GUGGAACUGCUAGAUGUUGGAAGGGUAAGAGGAAAAAAAGAUGCCAGGUUAGACACAAGAUAGUCACAGUGCUGAGUCUGUUAAAUAUACGGUGAAAAAGCUGACCAGAAAAGUUUUAACUGGAUGUUACACUUGAAAAGGUCAAUUGUGGUAGCACGUUUAGAUGUGCUUUCUGUUCUCUGAAGCCUACCACAUAUGGAAAUGACCACAGAACAAUGUUAACCAGAACUUAACCUGGCCUGCCCUUGUGAAUAGAACUGAUCCCAUCUCGCAGCACCCGGCUCCAAGACAAGUUUUCUCUUGCCAAAACAUUAUAACUGGAGAUUUGCAGUGGAUAUGCAGAAGCUGGACUUUGUACAGAAAAUGCAGAAUCCACACCCAGCCUGUCCUCUGGGAAAAAAGAGGUUCUUGGCAGGAAUAAAGGAAGAAACCUUUUAAUAUGGAUAGCUCACACCUGCUGACUUAAAGAGUCUUCUUCCUUAUUGAACCUCAAGCCAGCAGGGAAAAUACAGAUUGAAAGAGGUGCCUGAUAUGCCCACUGCUGGACUUGGGAUCUGCAAGGAAAGUCCUGCUGUUCAGCAGGCAAUGAGGCUUUCUUAAUCCACAAUUCAUCUUUAAUGAGAUUUCCUAACUGGUAAGACUCUACUCAACAUGUGUGAAUAACCUGCCUUUUUUCAAUGUGAUUCUAAAAUGGAUGAAAUUUAUAGGUACAGUCAAAAAACAUUGUGGGUUCGGGUUUUUUUUCCUUCUGGUCAUUUCAU